CUCAAGAGCGUGCUGCCCUAACUGACGCCGUCGAAUUGUCUCAGGGGGAAAAAAAGUGACGCCGUCGAAGCGCGCGCCGCCGCACGCUCUCUCCCCGGCCGAGCCUCCGCCGCCGCCGCCUCUCCACAGCCCACGCGUUAAUAAUCCCUGGACGAUGGAGAUGAAUGCUGCGACAAGUCUAGAACCUAGAGCAAAGGCCACCCUGGUUCUCGGAGGGGAAUCGUUCACAGUCAGCUCCGAGUCGGGUGCCCUGUCGGAGCAGCUGGCGGCGAUGAGGGAGAAGAGCAUGGUGAUCCUCAAGGAGUACAUCACCAAGCACAACGUCCCAAACGAUGUCCCUGAUGAAUCCAUCGAGGGCCCAUCGGAUGAGGAGGGUGAGGCACUUGCUAAAAACCCGCCCAAGAAAUCAAAGAAGCAGAAGUGAUUGUCCUAAAUCUCAUCUGAUUUAUCGUGUUCUUUCUUAGGCCCCUCUUGCAAAGAUCCGAGAACAUGCUGUUACCCCUUGCUAGCUGUUCCGUUGACACAGAAAAACCAAAUUAUUCUUAUGCGCCCCUGCACUAGCUGCUUGUGUAACAAACAAAUCGCUGUGUGCAAGCGAUGCUCAAUGUUGUUAUCCGAUAAUAUGUGUGUGCAAGGAAAGUUUGCAUC